AUUGAACGCUGGCGGCAUGCCUUACACAUGCAAGUCGAACGGCAGCGGGGACUUCGGUCCGCCGGCGAGUGGCGAACGGGUGAGUAACGUAUCGGAACGUACCUUUCAGUGGGGGAUAACGUAGCGAAAGUUACGCUAAUACCGCAUAUUCUGUGAGCAGGAAAGCAGGGGCUCGCAAGACCUUGCGCUGAUUGAGCGGCCGAUAUCAGAUUAGCUAGUUGGUGAGGUAAAGGCUCACCAAGGCAACGAUCUGUAGCGGGUCUGAGAGGAUGAGCCGCCACACUGGAACUGAGAGCCGGUCCGGACUCCUACGUGAGGCAGCAGUGGGGAAUUUUGGACAAUGGGCGCACCCCUGAUCCAGCCAUCCCGCGGGAGUGAAGAAGGCCUUCGGGUUGUAAAGCUCUUUCGGCCGGGAAGAAAUCGUAUGGGUUAAUACCCUGUGCGGAUGACGGUACCGGCAUAAGAAGCACCGGCUAACUACGUGCCAGCAGCCGCCGUAACAC
rnacentral:rRNA from 1 species